UGUCACUGAGCGAAUGCUCUACAGAAAAGCUUCAAGUUUCGGGAGUGUUCUCAACUGGUCCUGAGUCAACUGCCGUCCCUCAACCUUAAUCCUUGGAUUAACCUUCCAGAACACACAAGGGAUGAGCCUGCUCCAUCUAGGAUGGCCACAGUACCUCUGACUUUGGAACAAGCAAUUCAGACUCACCACGUUGUGGUUCGCUCGUGUCUCUUCUCUGCCCCGGGGGUUAGGCGACGCAGUUCCCGGACGAGCAAAGGAGGAUUCCAGUGGAAGGGAAAGCAGAGACGCUGGAGGAUGGGAGGUUGCGGUCAGAGCGGGAUGCCCAGCACGAUCUCUGAGUCUGAGCAGCUCUGGGCAAAGCCCAGAGGAGGCCAGGACAGCAAGGCGAUAUUGGACCAACUACGUGGACCAGGAAUGAGACCGUAGCAUCACCUUGAUGAAAAGGAUGAAGAAAUGUUGAAACUCCCAA